rnacentral:lncRNA from 1 species
AUGACCUCUAAAUGUUCAAGUGAAAGGAAGAAUCAUAUAUCUCUCACUUUAAAUAAAAAACCAGAAAAGAUGAAGCUUAAUGAGGAAGGCACAUGGAAAGCUGAUGUAGGCUGAAAGGUAGGCCUCUUGCGCCAAACAGAGAGCCAAGCUGUAGAUGCAAAGGGAAAAUUCUUGAAAAUUAAAAGUGCUACUCCAAGGAACAGGCAAAUGAUAAGCAAGCGAACCAUGCUUACUGCUGAUAUGGAGGAAGUCUGAGUGGUCUGCAUAGAAGAUCAAACGAGCCACAAUGUUCCCUUAAGCCAAAGCCUAAUAAAGAGAAAGACCCUAAUUCCCUCCAGUUUCUUGAGGGCUGAUCGAGGUGAGGAAGCUGCCGAAGAAAAUAACUAGCAGAAGUUACUUCGUGAGGUUUAAGUAAAGAAGUCAUCUACAUAACAGAAAAGCACAAGGUGAAGCAGCAAGUGCUGAUGUACAAACUUCAGCAAGUUUUCCAGAAGACCUAGCCAGGAGCAUUGAUCAAGGUGGAUACACUAAACAUUAGAUUUUCAAUGUAGAAGAAGAUUCCAUCUAGGACUUUUUUUUUUUUUUUUUUUUUUUUUUUUAAUCUAUGAGGAAAAGUCAAUACCUGGCUUCAGAGCUUCAAAGGACAAGCUGAUCUUCUUGUUAGGGGCUAAUGCGGCUUGUGACUUUAAGUGAAAGCGUAUGCUCAUUGACCAUUCUGAAAAUCAUAGGGCCCUUAAGAAUUAUGCUAAAUCUCCUCUGCCUGUGCUCUAUAAAUGGAAUAACAAAGCCAGAUGACAGCACAUCUGCUUACAGUGUUGUUUACUAAACACUUUAAGCCCACUAUUGAAACCUACUGCCCAGAAAAAAAGGUUUCUUUCAAAGUAUGACUGCUCAUUGACAAUGUACCUGGUCACUCAAGAGCUCUGAUGGAAGUGUACAAAGUGAUUAAUGCUGUUUUUGUAUCUGCUAACACAGUAUCCAUUCUGCAACCCAUGGAUCAAGGAGUGAUUUUGACUUUCAAAUCUGAUUAUUACAAAAGUAUAUUUCAUAAGGCUAUAGCUCCCAUACAUAGUGACUUCUCUGAUGGAUCUGGGAAAAGUACAUUGAAAACAUUCUAGAAAAAAUUCAUAAUUCUAGAUGCCAUUAAGAACAAUCAUGAUUCAUGGAAAUAAGUCAAUAUAUCAUGGGAGGAGGGCAAAAUAGUCUUAAAAGAAAUUGAUUUCAUCUCUUAUAAAUGUCUUUGAGGGGUUCAAGAUUUCAGGGGAAGAAGUAACUGCAGAUGUGGUAGAAAUAGCAAGAGAACUAGAAUUAGAAGUGGAGUCUGAAGAUGUGACUGGAUUGUUGCAAUAUAAUUAUCAAACUUGAACAGAUGAGGAGCUGCUUCUUAUGGAUGAGCAAAGAAAAUGGUUUAUUGACAUGGAAUCUAUUUCCCAUGAAGAUGCUAUGAACAUUGUUGAGAUGUCAACAAAGACUUAUAAUUUCCUACAAACUUAGUUGAUAAAGCAGUGGCAAGAUUUGAGAGGAUUGAAUUCCAAUUUUGAAAAGUUUUUCUGUAGGUAAAAUGCUAUCAAAUAGCAUUGCAUACUACAGAGAAAUCUUAUGUGAAAGGAAGAGUCAAUCAAUGCAGCAAACUUUGUUGUCUUAUUUUAAUAAAUUGCCAUAGCCACCCCAACCUUCAGCAACUACCACCCAGAUGAUUCAGCUUCCAUCAACAUGGAGGCAAGAACCUCCACCAGCAGAAAGUGACUUGCUGAAGCUCAUGCUGA